GAUGAACGCUGGCGGCGUGCUUAACACAUGCAAGUCGAACGAAGCACUCCGAGAUCUUCGGAAGGAAGAGUGACUGAGUGGCGGACGGGUGAGUAACGCGUGGGUAACCUGCCUUACAGAGGGGGAUAACAGUUGGAAACGGCUGCUAAUACCGCAUAAGCGCACGGAAUCGCAUGAUUCAGUGUGAAAAACUCAGGUGCUGUAAGAUGGACCCGCGUUGGAUUAGCUAGUUGGUGAGGUAACGGCCCACCAAGGCGACGAUCCAUAGCCGGCCUGAGAGGGUGACCGGCCACAUUGGGACUGAGACACGGCCCAA
rnacentral:rRNA from 1 species